rnacentral:rRNA from 1 species
UACGUAGGGUGCGAGCGUUAAUCGGAAUUACUGGGCGUAAAGCGUGCGCAGGCGGUUUUGUAAGACAGAUGUGAAAUCCCGAGGCUCAACCUCGGAACUGCGUCUGAAACUACUUGGCUAGAGUACUGGAGAGGGUAACGGAAUUCACGGUGUAGCAGUGAAAUGCGUAGAUAUCGUGAGGAACACCAGAGGCGAAGGCGGUUACCUGGACAGUUACUGACGCUCAGGCACGAAAGCGUGGGGAGCAAACAGG